UUAAAGUGACAGAUUCAAUGUGUUGGAUUUAAGCUCCAUUUAUGAUUUAUUUCCUUUAAUA
rnacentral:tRNA from 1 species